rnacentral:rRNA from 2 species
UACAGAGGGUGCAAGCGUUAUUCGGAAUUAUUGGGCGUAAAGAGCGCGUAGGCGGCUUGGUAAGUCCGAUGUGAAAGCCCUGGACUCAAUUCAGGAAGUGCAUCGGGUACUGCUAAGCUAGAGUACAGGAGAGGACAGCGGAAUUUCUGGUGUAGAGGUGAAAUUCGUAGAUAUCAGAAGGAACAACAGAAGCGAAGGCGGCUGUCUGGACUGUCACUGACGCUGAGGCGCGAAAGCGUGGGGAGCAAACAGG